GAUGAACGCUGGCGGCGUGCUUAACACAUGCAAGUCGAACGAUGAAGCCCAGCUUGCUGGGUGGAUUAGUGGCGAACGGGUGAGUAACACGUGAGUAACCUGCCCUUAACUCUGGGAUAAGCCUGUGAAACUGGGUCUAAUACCGGAUAGGAGCGUCCACCGCAUGGUGGGUGUUGGAAAGUUUUAUCGGUUUUGGAUGGACUCGCGGCCUAUCAGCUUGUUGGUGAGGUAAUGGCUCCCCAAGGCGACGACGGGUAGCCGGCCUGAGAGGGUGACCGGCCACAUGGGGGCUGAGAGACGGCCCAGACUCCUACGGGAGGCAGCAGUGGGGAAUAUUGCAAAAGGGGUGCAAGCCUGAUGCAGCGACGCCGCGUGGGGGAUGACGGCCGUCGGGUUGUAAACCUCUUUCAGUAGGGAAGAAGCGAAAGUGACGGUACCUGCAGAAGAAGCACCGGCUAACUACGUG
rnacentral:rRNA from 1 species